GAGGUGGCAAGCGUUGUUCGGAAUUACUGGGCGUAAAGGGCGCGUAGGCGGCCUACUAAGUCAGACGUGAAAUCCCCCGGCUUAACCUGGGAACUGCGUCUGAUACUGGAAGGCUAGAGUAUGGGAGAGGGAUGUAGAAUUCCAGGUGUAGCGGUGAAAUGCGUAGAUAUCUGGAGGAAUACCGGUGGCGAAGGCGGCAUCCUGGACCAUUACUGACGCUGAGGCGCGAAAGCUAGGGGGAGCAAACGGGAUUAGAUACCCCGGUAGUCCUAGCCCUAAACGAUGAAUGCUUGGUGUGGCGGGUAUCGAUCCCUGCCGUGCCGAAGCUAACGCAUUAAGCAUUCCGCCUGGGGAGUACGGUCGCAAGGCUG
rnacentral:rRNA from 1 species